rnacentral:rRNA from 1 species
CAUGAAGCUGGAAUCGCUAGUAAUCGCGGAUCAGAAUGCCGCGGUGAAUACGUUCCCGGGUCUUGUACACACCGCCCGUCACACCAUGGGAGUCGGAAAUGCCCGAAGUCUGUGACCUAACCGAAAGGGAGGAGCUGCCGAAGGUGGAGCCGGUAACUGGGGUGAAGUCGUAACAAGGUAGC